rnacentral:rRNA from 1 species
GGCUCAGAUUGAACGCUGGCGGCAUGCUUUACACAUGCAAGUCGAACGGCAGCACGAAAGAGCUUGCUCUUUUGGUGGCGAGUGGCGAACGGGUGAGUAAUACAUUGGAACGUACCGAGUAAUGGGGGAUAACUGUCCGAAAGGAUGGCUAAUACCGCAUACGCUCUGAGGAGGAAAGCGGGGGACCUUCGGGCCUCGCGUUAUUCGAGCGGCCAAUGUCUGAUUAGCUAGUUGGUGGGGUAAAAGCCUACCAAGGCGACGAUCAGUAGUGGGUCUGAGAGGAUGAUCCGCCACACUGGGACUGAGACACGGCCCAGACUCCUACGGGAGGCAGCAGUGGGGAAUUUUGGACAAUGGGCGAAAGCCUGAUCCAGCCAUGCCGCGUGUCUGAAGAAGGCCUUCGGGUUGUAAAGGACUUUUGUCAGGGAAGAAAGGGUUUGGGUUAAUACCCUAAGCU